UCCUCGCAGACGGGCCAGCGCCGGCCUCCGCGCGGAGGCGUCGUGCCGGGCUGGCGUCGUUCAUUCGGGCGGACCGAUUCUUGGGCGCGUGACGCCAACGCGUCUCCGGCCUUCAGCGUGAGCCACAUCCGAGACCAAAAGCGCCAGCGAGGUGUCCUCGGUGCCGCCGGCCAUAGGCCGACGGCGGCACGAGGCAAACGCCGCGGGCGCUCUCGAGCCGACGAGCCGCACCCCGGGGGGUGAGCUCGACGAAGGCAACGUGUAUCGAGCACGGCUUCCCGUGGGACGGGUAGCAGCACGCAAGCACUUCUCAACGCAGCAGGCACAGGAUGCCCGCACGAGUGAUGGGACACGGGCGCCGGGAGUCGGCCGCACGGCAGCGGGGGUCCUCCAAGCAGUCACGGGUCCAAGACAACUCAUGCGCCAGCGUAGCCGCUACGAUCGAGCCAUCCAAAGCAUCCCUCCGCGCUGGGCGCGGCGGGUCUGCUUGCGAGGACGGCGACCGAAGGUCCACCGAGCGCGGGAGAAACGGAAAACGCAUCGAGCAACGGGCCAUCCCACGGUGCAGCCACUCGUCCAGGGCGUCUGGCCGGCGGUAGCCAGCCAUAGCCGGUCGUGGCUGCGUCACGGCCGAACCACGGCCGGCCAGGCAGCCAACAGCGCCAGCCGGAGCUGGGCGCGGUAGGGUGCCGACCGGCCACGGCUAGGCCGCGAGGGGGUGCGGGGCUCGGCCGAGGAGACCUGGAGGAGACGCUGGAAACGCUAUGGUUUCAGCAGCGUUUCGCCCGGGUUUC
rnacentral:lncRNA from 1 species